rnacentral:rRNA from 1 species
GGGUGAGUAACGCGUGGGUAACCUGCCUUGCACUGGGGGAUAACACUUAGAAAUAGGUGCUAAUACCGCAUAAGCGCACAGAACCGCAUGGUUCGGUGCGAAAAACUCCGGUGGUGUAAGAUGGACCCGCGUCUGAUUAGCUGGUUGGCGAGGUAACGGCUCACCAAGGCGACGAUCAGUAGCCGGCCUGAGAGGGUGAACGGCCACAUUGGGACUGAGACACGGCCCAAACUCCUACGGGAGGCAGCAGUGGGGAAUAUUGCACAAUGGGGGAAACCCUGAUGCAGCAACGCCACGUGAGUGAAGAAGUCAUUCGUGAUGUAAAGCUCUAUCAGCAGGGAAGAAAAUGACGGUACCUGACUAAGAAGCCCCGGCUAACUACGUGCCAGCAGCCGCGGUAAUACGUAGGGGGCAAGCGUUAUCCGGAUUUACUGGGUGUAAAGGGAGCGUAGACGGCGACGCAAGUCUGAAGUGAAAUGCCAGUGCUCAACACUGGAACUGCUUUGGAAACUGUGUAGCUAGAGUGCAGGAGAGGUAAGUGGAAUUCCUAGUGUAGCGGUGAAAUGCGUAGAUAUUAGGAGGAACACCAGUGGCGAAGGCGGCUUACUGGACUGUAACUGACGUUGAGGCUCGAAGGCGUGGGGAGCAAACAGGAUUAGAUACCCUGGUAGUCCACGCGGUAA